AUUUGAUCUGCCACCACACCUCUGCCUUACCAGCUACCCUCUAUGCUCCUCUGCCUCCUCUUCAGUCUCUCUGGUUCCUUUCUAUUCUUCCAACACAGCCAACACCUGCUAUCAGGACCUCUGUACUUCUGGUUUCUUCUGCCCAGAAAACUUCUCCUCCUUUAUCGGCAGGGUUCCCUCCAACAAUUGACUUCGCAUUUUUGUUCAAAUGUUGUUUCAUCAAAGUAAAAGAGUGUGUGUUGCUGCUGCCCAGUUACUGUGCAUGUGAAUUCACCAGAUCUAGACGUAUUUGCCCAAUUAAUUACUCUGCUGUUCGACAAUGAUGGGUAAUGGUCCAAGCAGCCUGCUCCUCCUCAGAUCACCGAUGGAAUUCAUGCACGCAUAAUGUCCUCUCUUCAGAAAAUGAUCCCAACAAGCUCUAUAAUUAUUUUUUUCUUUUGAAAUAAAGGCAUCGAUUAAAUUAUAUGUUAAAACAGUUUGUGGGAGAAGAAUUGGAAAUGAAGCAGGAUCUCUCUCUCACUACUUUUCUGGGUAGAAAGCUGGAAGAUGAACUUCCCCAUUCUACUCUUUCCAGGAGCGAACUUCGAUAUUAAAAAAUAAUUGCUGAUCAAAAUUGUUCAUCGUUACCCUUAAUUAGUCUGUUGGUUUUCAGUAGUUUUCUUCAUUAACACAAAUGAAGGUGUGUUCUUCCACGUUCAACGAUACAUGCUAUCCCUCCGUGCUGGUAAGCUUAUGAUGUAGCAGAUCAAACAAAGAACCCUCGUGUACAAAUGCACAGCAGUCCC
rnacentral:lncRNA from 10 species